rnacentral:rRNA from 1 species
ACUCCUACGGGAGGCAGCAGUGGGGAAUAUUGCACAAUGGGCGCAAGCCUGAUGCAGCCAUGCCGCGUGUAUGAAGAAGGCCUCGGUUGUAAAUGUACUUACAGCAGUGAGGAAGGAUGGGGUAUGUUAAAUAGCAUACUCAUUUGACGUUAGCUGCAGAAAGAAUGCACCGGCUAAACUCCGUGCCAGCAGCCGCGGUAAUACGGAGGGUGCGAGCG